AUGCUCAAAAUUCUCCAAGCCAGGCUUCAGCAAUACAUGAACUGUGAACUUCCAGAUGUUCGAGCUGGCUUUAGAAAAGGCAGAGGAACCAGAGAUCAAAUUGCCAACAUCCACUGGAUCAUGGAAGAAGCAAGAGAGUUCCAGAAAAACAUCUAUUUCUGCCUUAUUGACUAUGCCAAAGCCUUUGACUGUGUGGAUCACAAUCAACUGUGGAAAAUUCUGAAAGAGAUGGGAAUACCAGACCACCUGACCUGCCUCUUGAAAAACUUGUAUGCAGGUCAGGAAGCAACAGUUAGAACUGGACAUGGAACAACAGACUGGUUUCAAACAGGAAAAGGAGUACGUCAAGGCUGCAUAUUGUCACCCUGCUUAUUUAAUUUAUAUGCAGAGUACAUCAUGAGAAACCCUGGGCUGAAAGAAACACAAGCUGGAAUCAAGAUUGCUGGGAGAAAUAUCAAUAACCUCAGAUAUUUUAUGGCAGAAAGUGAAGAGGAACUAAAAAGCCUCUUGAUGCAAGUGAAAGAGGAGAGUGAAAAAGUUGGCUUAAAGCUCAACAUUCAGAAAACGAAGAUCAUGGCAUCUGGUCCCAUCACUCCAUGGGAAAUAGAUGGGGAAACAGUAGAAACAGUGUCAGGCUUUAUUUUUGGGGGCUCCAAAAUCACUGCAGAUGGUGACUGCAGCCAUGAAAUUAAAAGACGCUUACUCCUUGAAAGUAAUGUUAUGGUCAACCUAGACAGCAUAUUCAAAAGCAGAGACAAUACUUUGCCAACAAAGGUCCAUCUAGUCAAGGCUAUGGUUUUUCCAGUGGUCAUGUAUGAAUGUGAGAAUUGGACUGUGAAGAAAGCUGAGCACCGAAGAAUGGAUGCUUUUGAACUGUGGUGUUGGAAAAGAUUCUUGAGAGUCCCUUGGACUGCAAGGAGAUCCAACCAGUCCAUUCUGAAGGAGAUCAGCCCUGGGAUUUCUUUGGAAGGAAUGAUGCUAAAGCUGAAACUCCAGUACUUUGGCCACCUCAUGAGAAGAGCUGACUCAUUGGAACAGACUCUGAGGCUGGGAGGGAUUGGGGACAGGAGGAGAAAGGGACGACAGAGGAUGAGAUGA
rnacentral:lncRNA from 1 species